UCUGUGUGUAUGUAUCUGUGUGUGUGUGUGUGUGCCUGUGGGACAGUGGGUUCCUCCAUGCCGUGACACAGAAGAGUUCCCUGCAGUACGGACACAGAGUACUCUGACACACACACACACAGACACACAGACACACACACACAGACACACAUACCGGCACACACACACCUGGUGCAUCUGUCAACACUAGAGCCGAGUCCCUGCAUUUUGUCUGACACGCAAAUCGCAGACAAGGCGCUAAGUAACCCCGCCGUCACCCUUGUGCUAACCUCACAACCUCGCCGUGGCACAGGGCCAGCUAAAAGCAGCUCAAACCGGAGUGAGCCAGUGCUGUGUAACACCGCCCACUCCACUGCCACCACCAACACCACCACCCUCCCCUUCUCUCAACAACCAUGAUGCACACAAACCCACAUGCUUACACUUCCUUCUCUCUCUCCUUCUCUGUUUGUGCUUUUGGCGUACAGGCUUGCAAAUUCUACUUUCAAGGUUCAUUAGUUGUAUCUAUGGGAAACACAUGGUAUACAACGUCCAACAAAAUGCUUACUUGCAGGUUUCUUCUCGACAGUGCAACAACAAUAAGACAUAAUAAAAAAUAAGAAUAGGAACAAAGUAAAUGGCUCAGUAGAAUAGAAUAAACAUUUUAGCAUAGCUAUAAUACAGGAAGGCAUAAUUUAUAUUCCAAUAUGUACACGUGUUUUGGGGAUUGGGGAGCAAUGUUUAAAUUGUGCAGUAUUUAGCAAUUAUAAUGAGAGUCCAGUUGAAGUGUUAAGCAGUCAGCUUGUAGAUAGAAACUGUCUCUGAGCCUGUUGGUGUCAAACCUCAUGCUCCGAUAACGUCUGCCAGACAGUAAGAAAGUGAACAGCUUGUGGCUGGGGUGUGUGGGAUCCUUCAUGAUGAUGCGGGCCUUCCUCAGGCACUGUUUCAAGUCCUGGAUGGGUAGAAGCCCGGUCCAACCAGUCAGAACGCUCUCAGCGGUGCAGCGGUAGUAUUUGGAGAGGACCCGGGGUGGCAUGCCGACAUUCUUCAGCCGCUUUAGGAAGUAGAGAUGCUAUUGCGCCCUCUUGACAAGAGUGGUGGUGUUGUUGGUCCAUGACAAGUCCUCAAUGAUGUGGACGCAGAGGAACUUAAAACUGCUGACUCUGUCUACUGCGGUCCCGUUGAUGUGGAUCAGGGCAUGUUCCCUCCUCUGCUUCCUGAAGUUAACAACCAACUCCUUUGUUUUGCUGACAUUGAGGAAGAGGUUGUUGUUUUGGCACCACAAUGCCAGCUCACUUACCUUCUCCCUGUAGGAUGACUCGUCGUUGUUGGUUAUCAGGCCUACAACCACGUCUAAGGGCACAGGAUACAGACACGGGAGGCAGAUGGUUCGAGUCUCUGAUAUUUAUUAUGAUCCAAGGGGCAGGCAAGAGAAUGGUUGUGGACAGGCAAAAUAUCAUAAACUAGGUCAGAGUCCAGGAGGUACAGAGUGGCAGGCAGGCUCGAGGUCAAAACCGGGAGGACUAGCAAAACAGAGAUAAGGAAAAAGCAGGAGCAUGGAAAAACACGCUGGUUGACUUGACAAGACAAGACAAACUGGCAACAGACAAACAGGGAACACAGGAAUAAGUACCCAGGGACUAAUGGGGAAAACAGGUGACACCUGAAGGUGGGUGGAGACAAUCACAAAGGCAGGGGAAACAGAUCAGGGCGUGACACCGCGGGGUCGUCAGAAAACUUGAUGAUGGAGUUGGUGUCGUGCAAAGCGACACAGUCGUGGGUGAACAGGGAGUAAGGUGGGCCCCUGUGUUAAGAGUCAGUGUGGAGGAGGUGUUGUUGGGCAUCCUUACAGCCGUGGUCUGACCAUCAGGAAGUCCAGGAUCCAGUUGCAGAGGGUGGUGUCCAGACCCAGGCCUCUGAGAUUGAUGUGUUACGGCCUCGUGAAUAUGGAUGGAAAUGGCAUCUUCCAUGGAUCUGUUGGAGAAUUAGGAAAAUUGGACUGGGUCCAAUGUGAUUGGCAUGCUGGCCUUGAUGUGGGCCA
rnacentral:lncRNA from 1 species